CUUUUAAUGGACCAUGUACUGUUCUAGGCAUUAGAAAUGCAGUGAUAAGGAAGAAAGAGACUCUUCCAUGGAGAAAGACAACAUGUGGCAGAUAAAUAAAAGGGUUUGUAUUCCGAGGCUCAGUUGUCUGGGGCACGAGUGCUUGAAGGAGAAGAGAAGAGAAAAGCACACUGGAAUGCUUGCAUACGUGCUCCGGCAAGUUUGCAUCUGACUCUCAAGGCUGUUUCGUCACCUGAUCUCCCAGUGACUCUGAGAUGUGUGAUGAGUCCAGCUCAAGGAGUGGGGAGCUCAGGGGCAU
rnacentral:lncRNA from 10 species